UAGAGAAGAGUGAGACCUCGUCUCAUAUCCUCCUAUCUGACCUUCCUAGCUGAAAAAAACCGGUAACUGUUUCAAGAGGAAAAAUGCGACGGACCGACAAUAUAUAACCACGAGUUUUAUCGUUAUUUUAAACUUUCAGUUACUGUUACAGUGGUGUACAACAGCAAAGUCUGUGUAGUUUAGCCAACUCAAGUUUAAGUUCCAUUUAUCUUCCAGGGGGACUUUUAACGUUGUACGUUAUCCAUCAGUGCAACAUUAACGUUAGCUGGUCGGAAGGAAACACACACAAAUACUGUUUAAACCAUUAAUAUAAUCAUUUCUGUAGUUUGUUAUUUACACCUACCUCUUGCUACCUGCACCGACAUGGCUACUAAUCCUCCAGGACAAGCCUUCCCGAACAAGGCACGGGUGGCGAUCCUGGCCGAGCUGGAGAAGGAGAGGAGACGGCUGAUGCAGAAUCAGUCCAUGAACACUCCUGGAGCCAGCAUCUCUCUGUCCAGACCGAGUCUGAAGGAGUUCAGGGACAGCGCAGAACAGCAGCACAUCGCUGCCCAGCAGAAAGCUGCCCUGCAGGUGAGACAGAAGAGAAGACUUCAUAUCCUUUUCCACACUGCAACAAGUGGCAUGACAAAUCGCUAUUAAUGCAGUCACACUUCAAUUUUUGUAAAAGCACGAAGGCACCUGUACUGAAACAUGUUUGAACAGCAGCUCAAUACCAGUCACCGGCUUGAACAGAAGUCUGAAAAUCAUUUUAAGAGAGAGAGAGAUUUCAAGGCAACAUGAAACAUCUCACAGAAGUACAAAGAGGCUCCACGGUCACUGCGUGGUUUUUGGCGCAUCAUCCUCAAACACUGUAAUGUGAUUUAAUGUGCGAGAGUGAAAACACAAAAACUUAAGCAAGUCGAACUAACACCUCCUACAUUUGUCCAUGGCUACUGUGCUGUAAGGUUUCUCUGUAAUUCCGUCUACCAGCACCUUUUUAAAGACAAGUAUGUCUCAUUUGUUUAAUCAAUAUGAUUAUUAACUGGUGAAUGUGUUCAGUAGAAACUCCUCAUACAGGUGUGCUAACAUAAACGUUUGACUGUGUCUUCUCUUUCAGCAUGCACACACACACUCAUCAGGCUUCUUCAUCACUCAAGACUCCUCGUUCGGGAACCUAAUCCUCCCCGUCCUUCCACGCCUGGAGCCUGAGUCUUGACCUUUUUACCUCUUGUCCUCAUCCUCCUGCUGCCCGACUAACAAGCUGGCUGCUGAAUUUAGGAAAGCUUUCAAAACAGUCGGAAGUCGGUUCCAGAUAGCUGUGAAACAUCCAAGUCGUCCAGGGGCUAAAAACGAAGUCUACAGAAAUACUGUAAAUGCCAUCCUGCUGUGUUGCCUUUCACGGCACCAAUCACAUUGUUUUUUUACAUUUGUAUCUAUUUGGAUAAUAAAAUUGUUACAUUUAA